AGUUCGCCGAAAGCCAUUGCGACACGUUGGAACAAGGCCAUAAAACGUAACAUGUAGUCAUGGCCCCGGAAAGUAUGCCAGGUGGUUGGCAUGAGUAUUUUCGAAAGGACGUGAGGUGAGGUGCGUCGAGCACGGUGUUUUCCCUUCGGGUGUACCGAGAGAACGGCCUCUGCUCGACCACCAAGUCGACGAAGGAGUCGCUCGUUCGCACGGCGACGCCCUGUGGCAUGCUGCGACACGGCGGUCAAUGCACCUCAUCAUGCCCCACGCGCUUGACAUGGCGUGGCAGUGUGCGCUGCUAGCAUCUGCAACCUCAAAACAUUGGCCGGUUCGCAAUGGUCGAGCAGCACCCCGUCUAUUUCUACGCCCGAAUUGAAGGCUGUCGAUCGCCUCUAAAAAGAACGCUUCUACAACGAAAUGACCCGCAUAACUUAGCGUGGAAGCAUGGGUUUAUUGGUGAUUCAUUGAAAAAAAAAUACAAAAAACCAGGACACUGAGCAAAAAUGACAGGGACACAAGAGACUGACAUUCACACAGCGCUGAAUUGCAACAGUUUGUAUAACCAAGUAUAACGAAGGAAUAAUUGUAUACCGGUUCUAUUGUGGUCUGUGUGGUGCGCGACCCUUACGACGAAGUCACCUGUAUAACGAAUUAUUUCGGAGGCCGCGAGUAUUUCAUUAUAAAGGCGUUCUACUGCAUAGCGUGUUGGACGUAUCUUACCACAUCUUCGCACAGCGUCCCACGUUCACUCCCAGCUGGCGACUGUAAACUUACAUCGACUAUGGCGCAAUGCAAUACAAAUUUAUAAUUCAAA